rnacentral:misc_RNA from 1 species
AAAAUAAAUAAGCUUAUUUAAUUCAAUCUAAAUAAGUAAUCGCGUAAAGAAAGAACUUUAAAAUGAAUAGUAAAAUGUUCAGCUCCAAUGAAUGUUUCCUUUUCUUUCCCCUUUCCUAUAUGGAUGCAUUUAAAAAUUUUAAAUUUUUUAUCCGUUAAUCUCAAGUUCAAAUCCAUCAGAGUAUGUUGGGAGUUUACAAAAAGUGGUAGAAUUACCUUGCUUGU